rnacentral:lncRNA from 1 species
AAUGGUGUCUUUGUUCUUUUUGUUCCCAGAUCACUCUGUUCUUAUCUCCAUAAUGUACGUGUUUUAUUGUUAUCCAGGGCAGGGCUCAUCUCUCAUUCGCCGGUAUAUUCAAGAACAUAAAAGUGUUGCCCAUUCCUGUUCUAUGAUUAAAAUUAAUGAGAAGAUGUAUUGUUACAGUGUUUAAGAAAAGGCACUUAUCAUUGAAGAAGACAAAUGUAGAGACAUCCCCAAGUGAAACAAUCUAUUUAUACAGCUCAGAAAUUUACUUAACACAGGACUGAGUAUACCUUGAAGCAAUCUCCAGAGAAGAGGUAAGCAAAUCAAGCAAACGAUAAGAAUACAACAAUAAAUAAGAAACAAGCAAACCUAGGAGUUUUAAGGGAGCAAUUACUACUUAAAGUAAAAAACUGUUAUUCCAUUUCGUUCCAUUUCCCUUAUAUUCCAUUUCCCUUAUAGCUCCUACUACUAGAACUCCUACUAUGAAGCCCACAGCUUCACCAGAGAAUUCUUCUUGCAGAAGAUGAAAGCAAUGACAAAGACCUCUUAUAUCUCUUCUCCUUUUGUAAAUAAAACUCCUAUCAAUUUUAUAUGUCUUUCUGGGAAUAAGAAAGACAGUCACACAAUGUAUCGUUCACCUUGUAAAAUGUGACAUUACAAAUGACUGCCAAAAGUAUGGAACUUUUUUAUUGAAAGCUCUAUUAAGUCAUACAAGUAAUUUACUUCCCCCAAAAUAUAUUUACUACUGUGCCUAUUCUGUGGAGUCUCACCAACAGAAGUGCACGCAGACUGCUGCUUUUGAAAAUUAAAGAAAAAUAUGCAUGACUAUGUUAUUGAUGAAUGAGAAAUCAUAUACUGUUUAAAAUAAUGUACAUCUUGGAGUUUAUAGAAAAUAAUUUCUACUUGUGUACAGAAUCAUGCCUUAAUAAUAAACCUUUACUGAUCA